GCAAAGGUCGGGUUUAACAUCUCCUCUGCAGAGUCCAAUGGCGUUUACUUUAUCAGUGUUUUGGCCAUAAGAGAAAUUGUAGAAACCGUAGUUGAUUUGAGUGUUGGAAGUGAGAUUGGAUAAAAGGGUGUUGAGGUUGUUUUGAUAGGUGCUAUUGGCUGUGUAGUUGCCAUUAUUGUUUAUACAAUAGUUGCGCAAAAAAUUUGGUUGGCCUUGGGCUUGAGAUACGAUAAUGAUAAUAAAAAGGAGAAAAGAGUAAAGGGAAAAUAAUAGCUUGCUAGAUACAAUUGUCAUUGUGAUAUAUUGAUCUCUGUCUUGGAACAAGAACAGGUAAUUAAGAAAUGGAGGAUUGAAGCUUUGGAUAUGAAAGUCAAUCAGUUAAUUUGAAUUGGGUGAAAUGAUUUGUUGAGUAAAAUAUGUGGUUUGAGACAAAGCUUCUAGUCUUUUAUCAUUCGAUUUGUGUGAAAGGUCGUUUGAGUAAUGUUUCAAAGUGAGACUUUUGGGUCAAUGGAUUUAGUAGUAACUUUUGUCAUAUGUUACAAAUGCGCAUUGCAUGGAAACAAGUACAAGAUGGAAAAUGCUCGGAAGUUCUUCAAUUUGAAGACUUGUAUGGUUACAAGAUCAAAUGAAAAUGAAAGGUGUAGACGCUGUCAAAAUAAGAAAACGUUAAAAAAAAGUAAAAACAAUUAUUAUAGCUAAAAGGCGACCCUAACGUGUCCCUUUGUUUGUUUUUCUACUAUGCUUAAUUAAUCAUAUAUACGAAGAAAAGUAACAAAUUUAGCAUAUACAAUGAUCAAACAUUUUUGACAAAUAUGAAUAUAACAAGAGUUUAAUUGUGGUGGGUUGAUGGUCCAAAACAACUCUGCACAUACAACUAAUCAAAACAUUUUGAAUUGUAAUGUUUAACUCACAUAAAUUAAAAUCAUUAAUUGAUGUGGUGAUUCACUAGAAUAUUCGAAUAAAUUUUUCAUCUUUUACUCAUUAUUCACAUGGCCCCAUAAUUCAAUCAUUUUACAUAAACGAAAAAUAUUCACGAGGAAGAAAAAAAACUAAAUGACAAUUACAAAAAUGAAUACCUUAGUCUAUAAAUCUAAAUAUCGAUGAAUACAAGUUAGGCUAAAUUAUAUCGAAGAUCAUUUAAGUUAUUUAAUGGUCUUUUAAAUUUUUUCUUAUUACUUACGGUUUUUAAGUUAGUCUAAAUUUUUUUCUUAUACUGACAUCCCUGCCGUAAUAGCUGCUGUUCCUGCUGUAUUCCAACCAGCAGCUGUUCCAGCUGUUGCUAGUGUUGUUCCAACUGCUGUCCAGCCGCGGUGGCAGCCUCCCGAGCAUGGCCAUAUGAAAUGCAACGUUGAUGUGGCGUUUUCCAGUCAACGUAACAAAAGAGGCGUAGGCAUUUGCAUUCGUGACUAAGAUGGAGUCUUUGUUUUGGCUAGAACAGUCACCUUUGUUGGUGUAUACCCGAUUGACAUAGGUGAAGCUUUAGGCCUUUACCAUGCGAUUCAAUGGGCGAGUGAUAUGCACUUAGAUAAUUUUGAUUUUGAAGUCGACUCCAAAACCACAAAAGACGCUCUUUACUCGAGUCGGGAAGACAUAACUGAAUUUGGCAACAUCAUCACAUAUUCCCGGUCUUUGCUCUCGUCCAAGUUUACCAACUCUCGAGUGGAGUUUGUUUGGCGACAAGCUAUUAUAAUGUGGUGUCUCACACUCUCGCAGGGAAAGCCACAUUUCUCGCUAGUCCCACUAUUUAUUUUCAUAUACCCAAUUGUAUUGAAACUUUGAUUACUAAUGAAAUGCUAUAAACACUUUUCUCUAAAAAAAAAAGUUAUUUAAUCAUAACAAAUUAAUCCUUUAAGUAUUGUUUGUAACACUUAGGUGCUUUAAGUUAUUUAAUUGUAACUUUUAGAUCCCGAAUAACUUGCAUUUUUAAGAUAUGAAAUUCCUCAAAUUGUUAAGGUAAAAUAACACAAAGGACCUUGUUGGUACAAGAAAAACUUAAAGGACCAUCUUGUUCGAGCUAAUUAACUUAAAUGACCUAAGUGAUAUGAAAAAAACUUAAAUACCAAUUUAUUACAAUAAAAUAACUUAAUGAUCUCUAAUAUAAUUUAACCCUAUAAUUAUUAUUGCAAGUUUUCUAUGACUGAUUAUUAUUGUAAGUGUUCGCCAACAAAACCACUUCAAACGAAUAAUUGAGUUAUUUUAUUUUUGAUAUUCUUUGGUGGAUGAGUCAGUGAAACGGAUACAUUUGUUAUUGAUUAUUUGUUUUGAUUCUUUCCUGGUCAAUUUGGGCGUCUUGCCUUUUAGGGGUUCUAGUUUAGAGGCAGCCGUUGUUUUUGUUGACUGGGUUUGUUUUCUUCUGUUUUGGUACUGUUAAUUAUUUCACAUUCGUUAAUAUAUUUUACAUUCGCUAAUAUUUUUGAUUGAUUUAACUACUGUGUUAAAUCAUUGUUGUGUGUUUGUUACAUGGAAAUUGAUAUGAUCACAGAAGUAAAAGUGGCUUUACGUGUUUUGGCAUGUAUAUUGGGUCUAAAUGAGUUAUGAUACAUAAAUACCCUUAGGUGGCAAUACACCCUUGACACCCAUAUAAAAAUCUGACAUGUGGCCAUAUGGAUCCCGCACAAGUAUACUUUCUCUUUCUUCUUCUCUUCUCUCUUCCUAAUACAUGGGGUGUACAAGAGUGUAUGCAAUUAAAAGGUGUCUAUGUAACAUUUUCCUUCGAGAUAUGUAUCUGUGUAUAUAUUGCUUCUAUGUUUCUGAAUAAAACACAACCAAAUUAUUUUCAUCUUCUCUUUUCAUUUUACAUGGCAUCAGAGCGGUAAAGACCUGCUCUCUCUCUCUCUCUCUCUUUCCUUUUUUUUUACCUUUCAAACAUUUUUUCUAAACCAUUAUGGCUAGGCGAUGGAAGCAAAUUAGAUUCCAACAAAUCUGAUUCCAAAAGCCCUUACUCCCUUCACCAUUCUGAUCAUCCUGGAAUGGUUCUGGUUUCUAAACCUCUCGAUGGAGACAAUUAUUCGACUUGGCGUCGAGCAACUACUAUCUCAUUGAAUGCAAAAUCUAAAUUUGGUUUUGUUGAUGGAACCCUCAAAGCACCAUCUGCCAAAAACAAACCAGAAGACUAUGCAUCAUGGAAAAAAUGCAAUGAUAUGGUUUUGUCAUGGAUUCUUAAUUCAUUGACCCCUGAUAUUGCAGACAGCGUUAUUUUUUAUGACACUGCUCAUGAAAUUUGGGAAGAUCUUCAAAAUCGUUUCUUUCAAAGCAACGCACCACACAUUUUUCAGAUCGAGAGAGAGAUUGCUUGCCUUACUCAAGAUCAAAUGACAGUUGCUGCCUACUAUACAAAGAUGAAAAAAUUGUGGGAUGAGUUAGGAUCCUACAAUGAUGUUGUUUGUACAUGUGGAGCAAACAACAAAAGGCGCAAGUUGAUGCAAUUUCUCAUGGGGUUGCACGAAUCUUAUAGUGUUGUUUGUGGUCAACUCCUUUUGAUGAAUCCUUUGCCUGAUGUUUCACAAGCUUAUUCUUCCAUCAUCCAAGAAGAAAAGCAACGAAAUUUGGGUGCAAGAAGAGAGACAAUAGAAGCUUCUGCCAUGGCUGUCCAAAAGGAGGAACCAAUAGCUCUUGCAAUUCGACACAAAUCUGGCCCGUCCUCUCGUCCCAAUUCUAAUAAUCGUAAAUCGCUGCAUUGUUCCUACUGUGAAAGAGAUCAUCAAACCAGAGAGACAUGCUGGAAGUUACAUGGUUAUCCACCAGGAUAGUCCAAGCAUACCACGGUCAAAAACUUCAAGUCCAACGGCAACAAUCAAUCUUCUGCAAAUAAUGUCAGAGAAACCUCAGCAGCACAUGUUCAGCCCCUUGUGAAUGGACUAAUCGAAUUACAAUUACAACAAAUUUUGUUUGUUAUGGAGGGCAAUGGAGCAUCUCAAUCAGCUGCUCCCAAGGCCAAUACUGUCAAUCUUUCUUCAGGUUUGUCUGCAUCCAAGUUGAUAAUUGAUAGUGGCGCAACUGAUCAUAUAACUUGUUCUCCAUCUUUACUUGUCAACAGUAAAGAAAAUACUUUUUUACCACCAGUUGUUAUGCCAAAUGGAAAUCAAGCUCCAAUUAUUUCUAUUGGAAAUUUACCUUUGAGUCCUAUUAUUUAUUUGAAGAAUGUACUUGGGGUGCCAUCUUGGAAGGUGGAUUUGAUAACUGUGAGUCGAGUCACAAGAGAUUUAAAUUGUUCAGUAACUUUUUACCCUCAAUUGUGACGGGGAUGACGAUUGGUUUGGGUGAACAACGAAAUGGACUCUAUUACUUGGUUACAAUGAAUAAGUCACACAAGGUCAAUACCAUCAAAGCUGCCUACACUUCAAACACCUCAAGUAUCUUGUGGCAUAGACGUCUAGGACACUUAUCCUCUUCUAGAUUAGACUUUAUGGCCAAAAAUUCCUUCAUUUCCCUUUCAAGCAAAAUAAUAAUUGUACUGUUUGUGCUCUUGCUCUUGCAAGACAAACUAGGCUUCCUUUCUCCACAAGUUCAAUUUCCUUUGUUAAACCUUUUGAAUUAAUACAUUGUGAUAUUUGGGGGCCUUUCAAAGUUCCUUCUCUUUCUGGUGCAAAAUAUUUUUUGACGAUUGUAGAUGAUUUUUCUCGUUUUACUUGGGUUUUUCUAAUGCAUCAUAAAAGUGAAACAACAAAAUUUCUAACCAAUUUUUUCUCUUAUGUGAAAACCCAAUUCAAUACUGCUAUAGCAAAUAUUCGGGUUGACAAUGGAAGAGAGUUUUUCUCUAUGCGAGAUUUUUUUAAACAGCAGGGCACUAAUUACCAACAUACUUGCGUUUAUACACCUCAACAAAAUGGGGUGGUUGAGCGCAAACAUAGACAUAUCCUUGAGUCGGCUCGAGCUCUUCGUUUUCAAUCGCAUCUCCCUUUAAACUUUUGGGCAGAAUGUGUCUCCGCUGCUGUUCAUAUAAUUAAUAGGUUGCCCACAUCCAUACUUUCUCACCAAACUCCUUUCGAAAAACUUUAUGAAAAACUUCCCUCUUAUUCCCACCUUAGAGUUUUCGGAUGUCUAGCUUAUGCUACAAAUGUUCAUGUGUCCCAUAAAUUUUCUCCACGUGCCACCAAAUGUUUUUUUAUUGGUUAUCCAGUUGGUCAGAAAGCUUACAAAUUAUAUGAUAUUGAAUCUAAUUAAGUCUUCACUAGUCGUGAUGUCAUUUUCCACAAGGAUAUUUUUCCCUAUGAAUCCAUUUCUUCUUCACCACCUAAAACAGAUUAUGUCAUACCCAUUGUUGUCUUAGAUUCCUCACUUGUCCAGCUAACACACGAAGAAUCUACCCUUGCCACUUCAUCUUCUCCAUCAGGCCCCUUGCGUCGUUCUCAAAGAACUCAUGUUCCCCCUGCAGCCUUGAGUGACUAUGUGUGUAACCAAGUAAGUUCUCCCGAAUCAUUGUCAUCCUCUUCAUCUUUUCCAAGUAAAGGUACACGAUAUCUUCUCUGCAAUUUUAUAUCAUAUGAUUGUUACUCACCACAACACAGACCCUUCAUUGCUACUAUUACUAACGAUGUUGAACCUACAUGUUAUGAACAAGCUGCCUCCCAAUCUCAUUGGCCAAUAGCAAUGCAAUCUGAGUUGGAUGCUUUAGAGUCCAAUAAUACUUGGUCUCUCACACCUCUCCCUCUUGGAAAGCAAGCUAUUGGUUGUCGUUGGGUGUACAAAAUCAAGUGCAAAUCAGAUGGUUCUCUUGAACGCUAUAAAGCACGGUUAUUAGCAAAAGGUUACACACAACUUGAAGGGAUUGAUUACCAUGACACUUUUUCGCCUACUGCUAAAAUGGUUACAAUUCGUUGUUUAUUAGCUUUAGCUGCUGCUCAAAAUUGGUCACUUCAUCAACUUGAUGUCCACAAUGCAUUUCUUCACGGAGAUCUUUCUGAAGAAAUUUAUACGUCUCUUCCUCCUGGUUUUCAGCGACAGGGGGAGAACCUUGUGUGUCGCCUUAAUAAAUCCUUAUAUGGAUUAAAACAAGCCUCUCGCCAAUGGUUUGCCAAGUUCUCUACAGCUAUUCAAGGUGCUGGAUUUAUUCAAUCAAAAGCAUAUUACUCACUGUUUAUAUGUAAGAAAGGCAAAUCAUUUACUGCCUUACUGAUCUAUGUUGAUGACAUCCUCAUAACUGGUAAUGAUCCUAAUGCCAUAACUGUUCUCAAACAGUUUUUGCAUAAUCAAUUAUGGAUUAAAGAUUUGGGUGACUUGAAGUAUUUUUUGGGCAUGGAGGUUUCUCGGUCAAAGAAAGGUAUAUUCAUUUCGCAAAGGAAAUAUGCUUUGGAAAUUCUAAAAGAUGGAGGAUGUUUGGGAACUAAGCCUGUGAACUUUCCAAUGGAGCAAAAUGUCAAAUUGUCAGAUGAAGGAGAAUUGUUAAAAGAUCCAUCCUCAUAUAGGAGACUUGUAGGACGCCUGAUUUAUUUGAAUGUUACUCGUCCAGAUAUCAACUACUCAGUGCACAUAUUGAGUAGAUUCAUGCAUACUCCUCGAAAACCUCAUAAGGAAGCUGCCAUGCGAAUAUUGCGGUAUCUAAAGAACAAUCCAGGUCAAGGUUUAUUUUUCUCUUCCCAAAAUGAUUUAUCUUUGCGUGCCUUUUGUGAUUCGGAUUGGGGAGGUUGCCCAAUAUCCAGAAAAUCAACUACAGGGUAUUGUGUUUUUUUGGGAUCCUCUCUAAUUUCUUGGCGAACAAAAAGACAGAAAACAGUUUCUCUGUCAUCAGCUGAAGCAGAAUAUAGAGCUAUGACAGGCGCAUGUUGUGAGUUGUCUUGGCUACGUUCAUUGUUGAAGGAUUUGGAGAUAUUGCACUCAAAGGAAGAACUGUUGUAUUGUGACAACAAAGCAGCUCUUCACAUUGCGUCCAAUCCGGUAUUUCAUGAAAGAACUCGACAUAUAGAGAUUGAUUGUCAUUUUAUUCGUGAUAAAAUUCAAGAUGGUUCAAUUGCAACUGAGUAUGUUCCUUCAGCAGAACAAGUUGCCAAUGUGUUCACUAAACCACUAGGGAAGGAAUCCUUUCUUACAAUGAAGUGCAAGUUCGGAGUUCUUAAUAUCCACUCUCCAACUUGAGGGGGAGUGUUAGGAAAGUCAACUAUAUUCUAUGAUUCUUGUUGUUAUGAGAGUUAAUUGUAUCCCAUGAUUCUAGCUGUAAAUAUGGUAACAGUUAUAUUAGUCAAAUUAGAAUAGCUUGAUUGUAGGAAUAUAUUGCUGAGUUAUAACAGCAUAAUCAACACAUUAGAGAUAUGUAUAUGUGUAUAUAUUGCUUCUACGUUUCUGAAUAAAACACAACCAAAUUAUUUUCAUCUUCUCUUUUCAUUUUACAUGAACUAUCUCAAUUUGAUCCAUUGUUGUUGUUCUUCUUAUUAUUAAUAUGAGUUUAUUCUUAUUGUUGUUGAUAUUUUGAGCUUGUUGUUCUUGUUAUUAUUUAUAUUACGGAGACGGAUGACCCUAUAUUUGAAGCAGAACUCCACCAUGGAGGACAAUUUUUAAAUGGGAAGUUUGGUAAUGAAUAUAUAGGAGGUAGAACAAUGGAAGGGCUUGAAUAUGAUUCAGAUCACUAGAAAUUAUUGCUGUAUUGAAGAAGUUAAAAUACAAUGGUUAAUCCGAGAGUAGGAGCUCCUUAAGGAUAUGGACACAUCAAAGCAAAUUUAUGUAGCAGUCAUCGAUGAAUGAUAUGAAGCUCGACAAGGUGAACAUACUGGCACUUGUAAUGUAACCUGAUAAAUUUGAGAUCCAAGACUAAAGUAAGCCUCCAAAUAUAGCUGUAAUAGGGUUGCUUAAACAAUUGUCAUCGAUAUUAACCCAUUUAGGUUGACCUGGUCGUAUUGACUUGGGAUCUAGGACUGUGCUCCUCCUCAAGGUCUCAGGUUUUGAUUCUCCCUCUGCAAUUUGGAUGAAUUAAUUUAACUUCUUUUAAAAAAAAAAAAAAUCAUCAACAUUAAUAAUGAGCAAUUGUGAAGAGAAGAAUUUGAUUAAACAUACUCCAUCUGUCCCUAUAUCUAAACACUCAUUUGACUUUAUUUUUGUCCCUAAACGUAAACCCAUUUUCAACUUACUAGAUGCAUUUAUUAUAUUUUUCCUAAACAUACCCCUAAUUAAUACUACUACCUCCGUCCCUAAUUAUAAAACUCUUUUGAGAAAAAAAAAAUUUCCCUUUUUAUAAGACUCAUUUGCUAUUUCCAACUACAUUAAUUAUUUCUUUACGCCUCCUAUUUGUUCGUGGCGGGCGACGUGAACUUUGACUGGAUCCGGGUAUUCAAUCUCGCCGCUGAGAUGCUCAGUUGACUCCUUAACCUUGAUAGGAAGAUGGCUUAUUCAAUAAUUGGUGCAAAAUCGUAAGGAACUUUGGAAUGAACUAAUGCGAAUGGGUGUAAGCCUCGCUGCUCGGAAACACCCAAUGCUGACCACACUUAGAGAGAGAGAGAGAGAGAGAGAGAGAGAGAGAGAGAGAGAGAGAGAGAGAGAGAGAGAGAGAGAGAGAGAGAGAGAGAGAGACGAAAACAUAGGUAAUGGUAGUGCCCCUAUUUAUUAUACAUCUUUUUCUUCAAUCAGCAAUAAAUAGUAUGUUGAAAACAUAAACAAACUCUCUAUCUUAAAGGAUAAAUUUGUAAAAACGACGGUAUUUACAAACAACUUUAAUAUAAAUAUUCACUAAAUUAAUUCCCGUGAUUUUGGCAAAAGGAUCUUAUAUAUAGGGACGGAGGUAGUACUAACUUAUUUUGAAAUAUGAAAAGUCAAAUUUAAUACACAUACAAACAAAUGACAAUUUGGUAAUAUUAACACAAAAAAUAGACACAUUAAUUGCACUAACAAUUUUUUUUAAGAAAUGUAAAAAAAUGCAAAAAGUGUUUGGAUAUAGAAACGGAGGAGUAUUUAUCUAGAAGACUUGUAUUCGGUGAACCAGAAAAGCAAGUGUUAUGAGCAACACACAUGUUGUUAGCUUCCAUUGUAAGAUGAUAAGACGAGAUCGUAGUAUUAGAAACACAAUUAGACUUGUGGUUUUCCAAGACUUCCACGCCUCAUCAACGAAGAUGUUGGUAUUAUGUGAAGUGAGCCUUUGCCUGAACCUAACUUUCGAAAGGAUCAAACUCAUGUAAAAAAGAUAAGUCUAUAUCGUAUUACAUGUCAACCAUAUGCAUAAUUUUUCUUUGACUAGAUCAAACUUAAACCUUGCAAAGUAUAACUCCUUCCAUCAUAUUCUCACGUGUAUUAAGAACCAUUGAAAUUCCCAUCCAUAGCAAUCUCUUUGGAUUGGAAUCGUGAACUUUUUUCCAUAUAUCAUGGUGGGGUACUGUUUCACAACACUUUUCUCCCUUCAUGGUGGGGUACUGUUUGGCCGUGUUGCCUUGUUGAUUGGUUUAAAUAAUAUCGCAUCUCCCCAUAAAAUUCUAACGUUAGAAGUCAAUAACAUCAUGUUGUCAAGAUGUUUGAAGAAAACAACAGCAUCAAAAUUUGUUCUAGAGGAAGAGUACUAGGAAAAAUUUAUGGUAAGUCAACUCAAAAGUCUAGCACCUCACUUUUACAAAUUUACAUAAUACUGCCUCCAUCCAUCAUUCCAUCUACUCUUCAUUUUUUACUUCAAUUUUUUUUUUUAAAUGGCUCUGUUUCCCUUUCUUUACUAGUUUCUCUUCCGAGACAAUAUUAGCUAGGUUAAAUAUAUUUUUUAUUCCUAUAGAUAUGUCAAAUUUUUGUUUUAGUCCCUUUAAAUUUUUUCUUCAACUUUUAGUCCUUCAAAAAAAAUUCAUCUUUACCUUUGCUCUCUCCUUUAAAGUAAACUCAUGUAGAAUUUGUAUUUUUCAAUAAAAUUUUGCAAAAAUUAUAAUAUUAUAAGUAUCUCUCCAAAAAAAAAAAAAUAAGAUUUUUUGCCAAAACAUGAAUUAAAUAUAUAUUUUUGGCUGUAAAAAAUUUAUAUUUAAUUUAUGUUUUGAUAAAAAAUUCUAUUUUUUUUUUUUUGAAUGAUUUUUACAAUAUUGUAAAAAAUACGAAGAUUUACUUUAAAAUAGGGACCAAAAGUAGUGAUUGAAAAUUUUAUAGAGACUAAAAGUUGAAGGAAAAUUUUAGAAUGAUUAAAACAAAAAAUUGGUAUAUUUAUGGGGACUAUAAAAUAUUUAACCCAUUAACUAUGAUUUCUAAAAUUUCUCAUAUGGCCAAGACCCAGACAAAGCAUAGGCCACUGGGUUGCGUCACGUAGAUCUUGAGCCAAAUAAGUGUUGUAUAAACCUAGACAAGUCCAAUGUCGGGCGCCAUGUGUGGACAAAAAAAACUAAAAAACUAAAUCAAACUGCUAAACUGAAGUGAAUCAAAAUAAAAAAAAUUCAACAAUUACUAACAAUUCUGAAACUGAAAAGAAACAUCGGUUCGGUUCAAAACAUUUCAGCUUGAUUCAAAGCAGUUCAACGGUAACUAAGACUCAAUUUAUUUUUUCUUUUUUUUAUAUAUAUAUUUUUCAACGGUACCAAUAAUAACAGUUCAGUUCGGUUCGGAACAGUUCGGUUCAAUUUGAAACUCUUUGGUUCAGUUCGAAAUGCAAAAAAUUCGGUUCAGUUUAGUUGUUUUACAUUUAACAAGUAGUUCAGUUCAGUUCGGUUCAAUUUUCAUCCCAAACCGAACCAUACCACCUUAUCUAGCGCAAUGUGUUGUUGUUCAUUCCAAGCACAUCUAUUCUUACCCUCUUAUUUGAUUCAAGUUUUUCACCAUUUUACGGUCUAAAUUGGGAUUUAGUGUCUUCACGAAAAUUGCAGCAGUUUUGAAUGUUAGAUUUCAUUUGCAACUAACUAGUUCGACUCCAUUAGUACAUUUAUAACUCCAAAUAUGAUUAAAAUGUUGCACAUGGUUCAUGUUGUUUUUUACUCGAACUUAGCGGUUCUAAACCAAUGAAACAAAACAAAACAACGCAAAAUUUUGGACAAGAAAAUGAAAACAUAAAUACCUUAUUUAAUCAAGAACCAUUUAUUAAAAAUAACUCAAAAACCAAUAUUAAAUUUGUUAGAACAACAACAACUAAUAAUAAAAGAUUAAAGAAACACAAAUCACAAGCAAUGGAACACAGACAUUUGUUUGUGUGCAAUUCAGUCAAUUGUGCGUAUCUCUACAAUUAUAUUUCCUUAUAUUACUUAAGCGAAUUAGGGUUUAGAGUAUUAUAAGUCAUAUAUACACACAUAAGAGGGGCAAAGGGCAAGGUAGCUACAAUGGAGUUAUAAAUCUGAUACAUAGUGUGAUUCAUUAUAUCCUACCACCCACUCUUGUUCACAUCCUAACUUAAGUGUCGAGUGCUUGCAGAUAUAUGUAAAUAUAACAUAUAAUAUAUUAAAAAGUAAGAAUGAUGCUUGAAACUUAGACAUUAGUAAAAGAAAUUACAAGGAUAUUUUGCUAUUUAUUGAUUUAUCAUAAUUAAAGUGAAUUCAGUUGCUUUGAAUGAGGACCUGGGUACUUAAAGAGUACAUACAUGUACUGGUAUUGAAGUUGCUACUCACAUGGACACGGAUACAUGUAUUUACACAAUCAACAUAUAGAAAUAUUUUACACAAUCAUCUAAUGUCACUUUAUUUAAUGAGUUUAAAAAUACAUGCAUGACUUAUUAUAAUCGUUAAUCCGCCACAUCACCCUUAUGAAUGAAAUCUAUCGAGGGUAUGGGUCAGUAAUUGAAGCAUGGUUUAUCGAUUCACCCGAUUGACUCUUGGAUUCAUUCGGUCGCAUUGCCCCUGAAUUAUCUCCCUCAAAUUGCAUGUCUCGAACUUGAAGGCUUCUAGUUCUGCCGCCCACAAUAGAUGCAGGCUCCAAAGGUACAGAGAGAGACAUAGAAUAACUACUAAGCAUGAGUACAAUGGUUGCCAUGGUUGGUCUUUCAACCAAAUUUUCUUGAACACAUAGUAAAGCAAUGUGAAUGCAUCUCAUUAUUUCAUUUAGUGAACCAUUGCUUAAUGAUGGAUCAAUUAUAUUUGUGAUUGUACCCGCCCUCCAGUUUCUCCAUGCCUGCACAAUUGCAUAUACCUUUUAUAUCGCUAAUUACAAUUCAAUCUUAACAUGCUUAAUUUCAUGUACUGAUCUUUUAAUGCAUACUUUUUCAUCGGCGUAGAAGAAAUAAUAAUGGCAGAACAGGACUUACAAAGCUAAGUAGAUCCUCCGGAUUCUGCCCAUGAAUAACGCGACAAGCUUUCUGGCCACUUAUAAUCUCCAAAACUAGUACACCAAAACUAAAAACAUCUGAUUUUACCGAAAAUUCUCCAAACAUUGCAUACUCAGGAGCCAUAUAUCCACUGCAUAUAAAAGUGAAAAUUUUUAACUAGUCAUAACUAAUGAGUCUUUUCGAGUAACAAAUAUUCAACUUAUAGUUGUUAAGGCCAGUGAUACUAUUAACAAUUUUGAUUUAAUGAGUAUAAAAGGAUUUUUCACCAAUGAUGUAUGAUAGCAUUUUAAAAGAACUUCAAUAUUAUAACAACUAUUUCAAUAGUCAACAUCAAUGAAUUACUUACAACAUAAGAUAAAGUAAUGAUGAAAAAACUUGUACUCAACAAAGACAUGGAAAUCAUAUUCUAAUACUUACUAUGUUCCAACGAUUUUAUUUGUAUUUACUUGAGUUUCAUCAACAAGAAGGAGUCUGGCCAUUCCAAAAUCUGAUAUUUUAGGAUUCAACUUUUCGUCUAAGAGAAUGUUACUCGCUUUAAGAUCACGAUGUAUAAUACGAAGUUGAGAAUCCUCGUGAAGGUAAAGAAGGCCUCUAGCAAUACCUCCAAUGAUUUUAUAGCGCCUUUCCCAAUCCAACUGUGCUUUCUUUAUUGGAUCUAUACAUACACAAAAUUAGUUAUUUUAGUAGUCAUAUGUAAGAGAGCAAUGAUCUAAUAAAGCAUAUAUUAUGGCCUACCAAAUAUAAAAUAAUCAAGACUUUUAUUCGGAACAUAUUCAUAAACAAGCAAUCUUUCUCUUCCUUCCAGACAAAAACCAAGUAGUCGAACUAAAUUUCGAUGUUGAAGCUUAGCGACUAAAAGCACUUCAUUCUUAAAUUCAACAUCCCCCUGUCCUGAAUUUGUUGACAACCUUUUGACUGCAAUGACUUGUCCACCGGCAAGUAUACCCUGCAAAUAUAUUUCAUUUGUGUAUAACAAGAAUGUUAAAGAUGAAGAAUGUGAUGUUCAUCUAAAUCAAUAGUAUUACUUACGUGAUAAACAACUCCAAAUCCUCCAUGUCCAAGUUUAUUAGCUUCAGAAAAGUUACUUGUAGCAACUUGUAAUGUCUCAAAGUUGAAUUGCAAUGACUCAGCCAUGUCAAUAUCAUCAUUGUCGUCUUCUUCGAUUUCUUCAAAAAUGAUACAAGGCAUGUUAGUAAAGUAAAAAUAGAAAAAUAUUGGCUUCCAUUUUCUCUCUAUUUUUGAAUUACUACAUCUAGUUUUUUUUAUUUGAAUGCAAAACUUUGUUAACCAUUACAACUUAAUAUUAUGAAGUAGAUUUUAAAUCGUCAAAACUCAAAAUUAUCCUGAGUUCAUACCACGAUUUAGACAGUCUACUGAAUUUAGACAAAGUCACACACCUUCGAGAUUUAUCCUUGCCUUCCUUUUCCUUAAGCAUAUGCAAAUAAAAAUUAGCAGGGCGGCAACAACAACAACAACAGUCGGCACAACUAUGGCGAUGGUAGUAUGUGAUGAUUUGCUUUUUUCUGCAAAAUGAGACAUUUCAAAGUUAAGAGUAAAAUAAUACCAACAAACAAGGUCUAUAACGACUAACUAAUGAGAAAAAGUCAAAGAUAAGAACAAGUAAAACAUGACCACCUAAUUGUAAAUAUGUUGUAACGAGCAAUUAAGAUGAUUAAUUAAUGACAAUUAGUAAUUACCUUCUUCUGAUGGGGAGGUUUCACCUGGGUCUAUUGCAGGUGUAGGAUCAUAGAAGCUAGAGGUUUCAUAUCUGAUAUUACAACUUGGUUUGAGAACUCUACCACCAAUCUUGUUAUUACAACAACUUGGAAUAUCUGAGAUAGCACCAUCUAAACAAUUAUUGCAAUCUUGCUCUGACAAAUCAGGUGUGCACUGAACAAGACCAUAUAUGGUUUGAAAAUUCAAAUUUACAUCAGUUGCAUUAUCUGUAGCAAAUUUACGACGAGAAUCACUUGAUGCAGCUUUCUCUUUCAGUUUCCUCAUCAAGUUCCCAAGAACUUGGUUAAAUUGAUCCACCUCUGUUACAUUAUAUAUGUUCCACAUAUAAAACUUUGGUGAACCUUCCAUAACGCCGAAUAUUGAUCGGUUUGAGUAACGCAACAUGCAGUUAUCAUACCAACCAAUUGCUUCUUUUUGGUUUGGACAAAGUUUUGUGAGAAGAACUCUUGAAUCGUUGAGACAACUGCGGCAAACGUCGGGUUUAACAUCUCCUCUACAGAGUCCAAUGGCGUUUACUUUGUCAGUGUUUUGGCCAUAAGAAAUAUUGUAGAAACCGUAGUUGAUUUCUGCGUUGGAAGUUAGAUUGGACAAAACGGUGUUGAGGUUGUUUUGAUAGGUGCUAUUGGCUGUGUAGUUGCCAUUAUCGUUUUUACAAAAGUUGUACAGAAAAUCAGGUUGGGCUUUGGCUUGAGAUACAAAAGUAAUGAGAAAGAGAAAAGAAUAAAAGGUAAGUAAUAACUUGCAAGAAACAAUUGCCAUGCUGAU
rnacentral:lncRNA from 1 species